rnacentral:lncRNA from 1 species
CCGAAGUUCAACAGCUCAUAACUUACGAUCUAACCGUCUAAACAACUCUUAAUUUUACAUGGAGUAUUGAUAUAUCUUUAGCAACUACCACACCAAAAUUCAACCGUAAAUUCGUCUUGGAUCUUGUGAUAUCUUGAAAACCCUAACUGUAGCUUCAAACCCUAGCUUUUUUACACCCGUGUAUAACUUCCUUCAUAUCUCACAAAGUAAUAAUUCAAAUACUAUGAAACUUUGAUCUAAAGCUUCCUAAUCAAAUUGCACACACUUAUGGAAAUUUUGAGCCAAAAAUUCGUCCAGAAACUCAAGAUAUGGCUUCACCCAUAACUAGCAACAAAACUAUAUACUUACUGCCUUCAAAUUAUAAGUGCUGUCUUCAACGCCUCAUAACUCCUUCACCCAAUCUUAGAAUUCACUAUACAGUAAGUAGAAUGUGUAGCCGAGAAAAUGCUCCCUCCAAAUCUAGUCGCCGAUCUUCCGUUGCUCUCCGUAUUCGUAUGUGAUGCCCAAAAGAAGUGACAGUAGGUACGAAAUUGACACCUUAUCUUUGAACAUUCAUAUCUUUUCUAUAAAAACUCGAAAUC